rnacentral:pre_miRNA from 1 species
AAAGUACUCCCUCCGUCCCAAAAUUCUUGUCUCAGAUUUGUCUAGAUACAGAUGUAUCAAGUCACAUUUUAGUAUUAGAUACAUCCAUAUCUAGACAAAUCUAAGACAAGAAAUUUGGGACAGAGGGAGUAGUUG